AACUUUGUACAGUGGCAGUAUUGUAGCCAAUGAGGUUCAUCUGAGGCGCGAUUGUUGCUCAUUGAAAAUAAAAGAAUUAAAUUAAAAGCAGCGGCUCCUUGAAGGUUAACUGAUUGAAAAUUUGUUAAAACUGGGAAUCAG